rnacentral:rRNA from 1 species
UUUUUGAAAAUAAUUUAAAGUCUAAUCUGCCCACUGAUAAAUAUAUUAAAGGGCUGCAGUAUUUUGACUGUACAAAGGUAGCAUAAUCAUUAGUCUCUUAAUUGGUGACUUGUAUGAAAGAUUGGAUGAAAUAUAAACUGUCUCUAAUUAAUUUAUAAAAUUUAAUUUUUUAGUAAAAAAGCUAAAAUAAUUUUAAAAGACGAGGAGACCCUAUAGAGUUUUAUAAUUUGUUUAAUUAUUAUUAAUAUGUAAAUUUUAAAAUUAAAAUUAAAUAAAUUAUUUUGUUGGGGUGACAGAAAAAUUAAAUUAACUUUUUUAGAUAAUUAACAUUAAUUUAUGAAUAAAUGAUCCAUUAAUAUUGAUUAAAAGAAAAAAUUACCUUAGGGAUAACAGCGUAAUUUUUUUUUUUAGUUCAAAUAGGAAAAAAAGUUUGCGACCUCGAUGUUGGAUUAAGAUAAAAUUUAAAUG